rnacentral:rRNA from 1 species
AGGGUGUAAACGCUGCAGACUUGGUGUUGGAAGCCCUUUGGGGGCAUUCAGUGCCGGAGAGAAGUUGUUAAGUCUGCUACUUGGGGAGUACGUCCGCAAGGAUGAAACUUAAAGGAAUUGGCGGGGGAGGCACCGCAACGGGAGGAGCGUGCGGUUUAAUUGGAUUCAACACCGUAAAACUCACCAGGGAAGACUGUUACAUGAAGGCCGAGAUGAAGACUCUGCUAGAUUUUCAGAGAGGUGGUGCAUGGCGUCAG